AUUACUUCUUGGACUUUUGACUAAGAUCAAGUAUGGUAUCUGUUCUUAUCAGUUUAGUGUAAAUACUCUUAAAUAUAAAAGCAUACACUUACGUUCUUAGGACUUUCU
ensembl:snRNA U2 U2 spliceosomal RNA